UCUUGCUCCUUAGUGGUGGCAGUCACUGCCACCCCGUGUCUUCCUGGAGGCUCUCAGCCCCUCGCAUAAUCUUGUUGAAGGUGAGCGUGUGAAUGCAGAUCUGUUUUGGAAACAUUUCCCACCCACUUUAACAUUCUCUUCCCAACCACCUCCUUUUGUUGAUGUUCUCUGACAAGUCCCAGACCUUGGGAAAACAUUCGUUUCCAAUCCGGCUUGAAUGUAAUCACUUUGGAUUGAUUUUGAGAUGUUGGCAAAUAUCAGGAGAUUCGUGUUGAAAACGUACUAGAGCUUCUUCGUUCACAAGCUUUUUGAUUCUGUGAAAUGAGAAAUAUUAUAUUUAUUUCCACUUUAUAGAAAUAUAUUUGAAAAUUCUCUCGGCACAGGCAUGUCUUUGACUUUGGUGCUUUCUAGAUUGUAAGCUUCUAAGUCCUGUAUGUCCAGGGACAUGAGCAUCAUUUUCAUGCUUAGGUACUUGGAGAGUGCAGUUUUGAAGCUGAGUGAGCUUUUCUGGAAAGUUGAUAUGGUGUGAAGUCAAGAAGAAGGGAAAUUGAUUGCACUAGACUUUUUUGCUGCUUAGGAAAUUGCAGAAAGCGAUAAAUAUUAGAAAUUUAAUGGAAGGAGGGCAGUCUGGCAAAAGAACAUUGGGCAAAGUUGGAGGUGUAACAGAGACACUGUGAGAGGGGAGACCUCGAAUUUGAUCGGGGUAGACCAAAGCAGCCAAAAAGCAGUUCCCCUUGUAGCCUCAACAAGUCUCUAUCAAUCAUGUGAGAAUCAAAACUCGGUUCCAUCUCUACUGUAGUUUUCUACCACCUUUACUGUUAAUAGGUGUUGUUUCUUUCCUCACUAGCCCAACCUUCAAUUGGGGCGAAAACCUCAUGUGGUUGCAGUGAUGGUGAAGAGGGGAAGCGGUCAUAAAACCUGUGUGUUAUGUGAGUGUGCACCAGGACUGUCCUUACAGCCACCUCCUGGAAAACACAGGAGGGGAAACGGUGCUUGCAAAAUGCUGACCCUUUUGUUAAUUUGUGGAGAGAGGAACAAAACUGGAAAAGGAAAAUAUACCGGAAUGGUUUCUGUAGUCUGGGGUGAACUGAAGCGACAAGUUUAGCUUUUAAUGCCAUGAUUUUUUUAAACAGUCUUCAACAAAUGCUCUAGCUAGUCAGGUGUUACAGAGGGAAUGCUACGAUGAAAAUCCUCGAAUGGGCUUUUCUUGGCAGACACCCCAUUAUGCAAGCAGCUUAAUAUGUGCUGGUUUUGAAACAGAAAUGGGAUUCCAUUACAUAGGGUCAGGGUGGUUUAUAAAGGUUACCUUUUGUUUCCUAUCAUAAUUCUCCCUAAUAGUCUCUGAUUAUGGCAACCUGUAAUCCCAAUUCUCAUGUUUUAAAUCUGUCUCGUGUUGGAUUUGGGGUGGGAAGGGGGGGAGUUUUAGACAGCAAAGCUUGCAGGAAAAUUGAAAAUCCGAUAGGUACUAAUAGCUUAAAAAUGGGCUGGGGGUAGUCUAGAUUUAGGGGGAUGUCUGUGCUAUGCCAUAGGGCUCUCUCCUGAUUAAAUCUGAUUCUUUCCCAUCUACUUUCUGUCUGUGCUUGUGCCACAGAAAGUUUCCUCCUUAAUUUUUGAAAAUUCUGUUCAUGCAAGCCCUAUGAGGUACAUUUGUAGUGACAUUUGGAGCCAGUCCUGAGGGCUUCUUUCUACUUAGCGGAGUUGAUAAAGCUGCUGCUUGUGGAGCCUGUGGAGCGCUCUGGAGCAGGGCAUGUGCAGAUUUCUUAUUACUGUAAACUCCUUUAGCAAAACUUGUUCUAGCCAUUGGACUUAUCACUUGCUCAGGGAACAAAGUGAACUUAGGACACGUAAGCAGCGGGACUGUUGCUGUAGUCUUCCUGUGCUUUACAUCUGCAGUAAGUUUUGUAGUAUAUCCAACAGACAGACUUUGGUUCUGGCCCUAUAGCUGAGCACAGCUUCUGAUCUUUACCUGAGCUGUUGGUGGCAAUCCAGCUGGGAUAUUCUUAAUGUCAGCAGCUGGCAGGUCUGGGCUUGAGAGGUACUAGGAAAUGGACCCUAGUGUUAGACCACACCUUACAGAAGCUGAAGCAGCCCGAGGAUUUAAGGUCAUGGACACAGAAGCUGAUGUAUUUUGUUUGUAUUUCUUAACUUGCUGCUGCUUUCCCUGGGUGAAAGCUCCUUUGGCAUAUGGAGAAUUAAGCGCUUCCUACACUUCCAAGUUCUGGCUAUUAAGUGAGGCAAUAUCGCUGUGCUUUAGAAAGAGAAAUGGGCUAUUUUAAACAAGGAAUAACUGGGUGCUUGUGCAUGAGAGCUUCUAAGAACAGGAAAUGGCAUUUAAAAGAUCUAUCUGCGAUGGGAGACUCAAGUCCAGUGUCAUGUGUUAAAGAGCCCGUCUGACAUAAAUUACUGGGAUAUGUGGACUGUAAUGAGAAUUAUUUCUGGGUGUUACAACACUCUUCGUACUGCUUUCUACAGAAGUUUAUUUGCAGGGCUUAAAUUAGUUUGUUAGUUAAAGGGCAUGUCAGAGUUGUGUUGAGCUGAUAAUCCAUGGAGAUAGAAUUGCAAUACACCUUUGCAAAAGUUUCCUCACUUAAACAAAAACCUUGAGAAACAAUGUUGCAGUUGAGGAUGUGAGUUUGUAGAUUUUUGGUGGUGUUCGUAAUAUUAUUGCUGUUUUAUAUAGUAUUAUUUACACUUACUUAGAAAGAAUGAUGCACUGUAUGCCUCUCUUAUUCAUGGGCAUCGCCUAUCCUGUUUGAAUGGGAAAUGGAUUUUGGAGAAAGGAAAGAAACAGCAUGUCCUUAUGUCAUUUAUAACUGUUGUAGCACACACAUCUGGGCAGCCUAACUUUUGUGAGUUCUUUUGCUUUAUUUUUUUCAGUCUGCUUAUUUCUGUUUUUCUGUACAUUGUAGCCUACUUCUGGUUUAGCUUUGAAGAGUAUGUUUGGUUUUUUGUUUGGUUGUUUUUUAAUUCUGUCUUUGCAGUAGAGAAGUGUGUUUGAAGGAAAUCUAGGGUGUGCAAAGCACCUGUUUGAUGAUACAGGUGAUCAGGAAGACCACAUUUUUGGCAAGAAUACUUGCUUGCGAAAAGCAGAAUGCAUUUUCUUGACGCAGAAGCAAAACAGAACAAAACAAGCCUACUUGUCCUAAAUACCUUUCUUUAUGUCUUCUGCUCCAGCUCUUAUUUUAGUCUGUAUCUUGAAUGUGCUUCCUUCCUAUUCUAAAUUUAUCCCACGCAGCAUUAGGAAGUUCAGUUGAAUAACUUAGGAUUUGUAAAUAUUGUUUCAGAUGUGUAUCUUGGAAAAGACAGUUUCAUCUUCAUGGCUGAAAUACUUAAAGUUUAUCAUUUGGCUAUUAAAGGCCUUUAAAAUGCCUGUAAUUCUUUCUUUGGCACUAGAUAAAAUGCCUUAAAGUUGCAAUUUAGAAAGUCAGCGAAACAGAAUUGGAGCUUUGGCAUUAUAUUGAUGUUAACAGUGGAAGCAAAUAGGCAUCUCUUUGGCUUGCUUUACUGUAGAAGAAGAAUCAUUAAAGUCAAUGCAGCAUUCGAGUUUCCCAAAAAGUUGUGUAACGCUGCUGUGCUGUGACUGGUUUAUCUGGUCCUGGUGACUACAAUGAUUUCUCCGAUGUCAAACGUCUGAAGUAAUAUUUGAAAAACUGUUUUAUAUCUAUCACCAUUUAUUUUACUCUGUAACAAUGUUAAUAUUUCAUUUGCCAUUUAGAAAAUGGAUUUUGACACUGAAGAGACUAAAUUAAGACUGUUGCAAAUAUUUAAUUUGUGAUAGGUCAGUGUCAUUUUACUGCUGGUGAUGACAAAUGUAAAUUUUUUCUGCUAUGUUCAGGAGCCACAGAACUGGCAUUGCUUUAAUUUUGUAACGCACUGCUUCUUUACCAAUGCUCUCCCAUCCUCCCAAAGUAAAGCCUGAUUUUUGCUUGGAAAAGCUUUGUUGAUGUAUUUUGUUUCAAGUUACCUCAUGCUUGUAACUCUUGCAUCACUGAAUUGUAUUUUCUAGUUAGUCAAUUUCAGGGUUCCUUUUCCUUAUGUUUCUGUCAUGCUGUAGUAACUUCAGCACAGACUCGCCUAUGCACAUCAUGUCUUUAUGUUGUGUGCUCCUUACAGUGCUGUCGUCUUUCAGGGUUAUCUGCAGAAAGCCACAGAACAGCCUUAAAUGUUAGUUGAGUGGCGCUUUUACCCAGGGCGUUAAGCAGUGUUGUUUUCUAUCUCUGUAUCUGUGCUGGAGUACCUGUGGAUAUCAUUUGUGUCCUGGGAAGCCUGUGCAGGGUGAUUCCAAAGAUUCCCUCAAGAACUUCCAGAGAGCGACUAUGGCUGAUAGGAAGGCAGUGCACCAUGUUCUGGGUAAAGCCUGACUCUGGAUACCUACAGUAUGGCAAGGUGCUGCUAGGUGUGUCUUUACUGGAAUAAAUUGACCCCAUUUGCAUCUAAUCAAGUGGGGUUCCCAACGUUCACAUCAUCUGUUGGACAUUUCCUGGAAAAGUUCUCUAACGUUAUUAAAUUGAAGCACUCCCAGAGGUCUGAUAAGUGCAGGUGUCAGGGUACGUGGCUGGAUGCAAAAAAGGGGAGCUCCCCUUUUCCAGUGGCAGUGAGCUGCUAUAUUGGCUUAAAUUGUACCUUGAUUUGGUCUCAAGUAUCCAUGAGUAUCCAUCAACAUGCUGUUUUAGUUAUUCAGGAGGUGAACACUUCAAUAGUUUCAGCUAAAGCUCUUCAACUGUGGUGUAGCCAUUUAAAUGUUCUUCCAGAAAUAAGAUUAUCAUUACUUAAAUGGUUAUAUGGCAUGUUGGACAUCUGGAUCUAAAUCCCUUUUCUGAAUCAGCAAGGCUAACUCUAGUCUUCUAAUUUAAAGGCGCAUUUAUGGAGAGGGAGUUGAGAGGGCAUCCUGCCUGGUAGGGACUGCCUGGUGAGGACAUGGAAGGUCCUGAACAAGCCAGGUUAAUUCAUCUCUGGAGAAGGAAGAGAGAAGAUCUAGGAUUAUGUGACCUCAGAACUAUCCCUUGAGAACUUCUGCUAGGUCCUUUCCAACAACUCUCACGUAUCCCCUGCCAUACACCUCUUUUCUUCCCUGCCUGAACAGCAACUGAUCCUCUUGCUUUAAUAUCCCCCUUACUCCGUUCCUUUUCAUGUGCAGCCAGGUGUUUGUUUCACCUUACCCCAUUUUAUGUGGCAUUGGGGGAGAAGGGGGAAGCAUUGCACCUGAAGUUGGGACUUGUCAUUUAAUAAAAUGGCAUUUGAAAUUAAACACAUCCCUAUUACUGUUCAUUAAUGCAAGCCAGAAGGGAUAUAACUACCAAAGAGCGUACCGAAGUAGCCAGCUGGUCAAGGAGAUGAUGUGUUUUGGAAAGGAUGUGCUCAUGGACACAGAAUGGUGGGUGUAAUCUGGGACUAUUUCUGUAACAGCAUUUGUGACAGAGAGGCAUCACAGCUUCAAAGAACAUCUGUGUAAUCGUGAGCUUAUCUCAUUUAAAACUAUUGUUCCACCUCUGUUUUUUGUUUUAAAAAGCAGCAUUUAGGUUACUUUUAAAUAUGAAUUGGAUUUUACUAGAUUUCUAAAAUGACAGAGGAGCACAGUGAAAUAAGUUGAUAGCUAUAAUAUAGUAAGACUAAGCAAUGCUAGAAAUCCAUCAUGUAAUGAGAAAGCAAACAUGUAACUUUAAUUUCACAUUGUAUGUGGCAGGAAUGUAAUAUUACUUAUAAAUACUCCUAACUGCUGAGCACUGCAGUGCACUUAUCUGUAGUGUUUCUGUGAGGAUACCUAAUAAAAAGCAAAUCACGUUUUGUUAUUAUACUUUUGUGAUCCUUGUGCAUAGUUUUAGAGAAACAAUGGUAACCAUUAGGUGCAAUGCCUAACAUGUUAAAUUAAAUUCAGUGAAACCUUGCAUUUUUGCUUUGAUUUAGACUUGUAUGAAAGAUAUAAAGUAAAUGUAGGGGAGAACAGCUUUAAAUUCUGCUUGCCAUACUUAUUUCUGACAAUAAAUCAGACACUGAAAGUGGAUCAAGAAUGCAAAAUACAGUUUGAAAGCUCCUCACGUACCAGCCUUUAAUAUGGAAUCUCCUGAAGUCAAGCAGCUGUCAUCAUGUUAACAGCAAGUACAGCAUGAAUCUGCUUCAUCUGGAAGAAACGUUCUUGAAUUUGAUGCAAAGCCUUCAAAGUUGCUUGAUGCAAGGCUAAUGAAACACAGAGCAGCCUGAUACCACUCAGAAAAAAUCAGACAUAACACCAGUGCCUUUCCAGUUUGUGGUAACUAGUAUUGUACUGAGCAUAGAAGUAAUGCCUCCUAAGAAGCUGAUGCUAUCAAAAGCUACGGAACCAGCAUCGCCAUCAGUAUUGAUGCCAGACACAGUGUAGUAUCUGCAGUGAAGUACUUGUCCAAUAGAGAAGAAAAUGAGCAUUCAAGUUUGCCCUGCAAUAAUUCUGAAUGAUUCUGCUUAAAUCAUCAUUGAAACCUUUUGGGAAUUUUGACUGUUGAAAUAAAAAUGGAAUCAUCACUUUCUUGUUAGGCCUAAAAUGUUAUGAAAGGCAGACUUCACUAGCAAAGUCUGACUUUUAGUAUUGAUAAAACUAACUCUUUGCUUCAUAAUUUGCCUUGAGACAUGGAAUAGUUCAAAAACAAGACAGAAAAAAGGUCAUGAAAAAGCUUUUUAGGCAUCAGAGGAAGUGUCUGAAACUGUAGGCAGAUAUACGCCCACUACAGCGAUGAUGGGAAGCAUGCCGUGGCUUCAGAUGCACUAGAUUGUGUGAAAAGUAUAAGGAGUGGUCAUGGAAUGCUUUAGAAAGCUUGCAGCUAUUUAGCAAAAAUAUUGUAGAUGCCCUGGGCUCUCUAAAAAAGUUAGAGUGUAUGCUCACUGUAGCAUUUCAUAUCAUUAAGCUACUGGCAGCAUGCAAUUCCUGAUGUUAGCAUCCACUAAGCGUGACAUGUUAUUGCAGGCAGUCAAAAUACCAUGCCAAGAAGUGGCAGCAGGAAUGCUAUAAUCUUUCUUAAACACAUUAGGGAUGUUCUGAUAUUCCUAAUGGCUAUUUUUAGUGGUUAUUCUGUACGCAUUCUGGUAUUCUUCAGGGUUUACAUUGAGCGUGAUUGAAUGUUGCACCUGAAAAAUAAUAGCUACCCUUUUGGUCGUGCCAUCCAGCUUUGUUUCUUUCUAGGCUGUUCACUGUUCUGCCCUAUCAGAGAUUAUUCUAAUGGUGUUAUAAACAGGGAGAGUUCAGUUGCUCAGCUGGAUUCCAGGAACAGGAAAAAAAUAAGUCUUCCUCCAACUCAGAAUUUCCAUCUUUUCUGAAGUUAGGUGGUCAUACCACUGCAGAACUUGUCUUCAUCUUGCCAUUUUAUUACAUCAGUAUAUCAAACGUGAGACCUGUGGGAGACAGUUUGCAGGAUGGGUAUUCCUCUUUUCAGAUAGUCCUGCUUACAACAAAAGCUAUAAAGAUCACUUGGGUCGCUAAAUGUAGGACACUCUUGAGAGCUUUCACCAAAUACUUGAUAUUAGUUGGGGCUUAUCUCAGAAUACAAAGAGAAAUUACAUAUCCCUAUCUUUAGAGAUAAAAGACUAAAACAUUCUCAGAGUCAUCUUUAACCCCCCUAACAUGGAUAGAAUUAGGACGAUUUUAAACUCUACUUCAGUCAAAGCUGUUAUUUUUACUUUCUGGCAGACUUGACUUAAUAAUUAGCAUUUUCAAUCAACUUCAGUAAGAACUGUGUGAGCAUGUGCCAUGUCUCCAGUGACAGACUGGCUAGAGCUAAUGUGUUCAUGACUUCUGGGUGUUUGUUUUCCAGUGAGGUGCAGAAACUCCAGCUGAGUGUGCAAAGUGAUAACAAAGCUCUGGUAGGAAUGCAAAAAGAAAUACCAGGAAAAAAAAAAGAUUUGUAAUCACAUAAAUACUUGAUUAUAUAUAAAUGUUCUAACUGGGGGCAAUUCAUGUAGUGUAUCUUAUGUUUGUAUUAGAUUUAAGACCUAAUAAAACCAUUCAGCUGACAUCAGCUCUGAGUUGCAAAGAAAGGAACUCGAGUUUCUUCUGAAAUAAAACUGCCUGGUUGCUCUUCCAUUUUGCAGAAUUUUGUCAGCCUUUGCACAGGUGAACUGAGGACCAGCCACCAUCUCACUGAUUCUUGCACGUGUACGUCUCGGUUCCUCCAUUCUCAAUGUGAUGUCUGCAACACCUUGGUUUUGGCAGUAGGAAAGGCUCCUCACCUAUCAUAAGAGUGUUGGCCUAUAGGUAUUGCUGGUGCAAAAUUCUGACCUUGAAACUGGCUUAGAAGGACGUAUAUGCUCUUUUAGGGUUAUAAAAUGAACACAAAUAAGUGUUUUUAUGAUGAGAAAUAACACUGCUGUAGUGAAUUGAAUUCAUUAUGUGAUUCGUAGGAUACUGUACUUCCAUUUUAAAAAAAUAUGCAAAACUCAUGAUGAUUUCCAAUUUGUAGCUGAAGCCUUUGCAAUAAGACUUCCAUCAUGAUGUGCUUCUAGUAUAAUAUGGAGGCAAGCAGGUGUUUUAAAACUUGAUACGGAACACUGUGUGUAUGUUUCUUCACGUCAGUGGAAGUUACUGAACUUUCUCAUUAGAUUUUCCAUAAAAAUAUUACACUGAAUAAAUUCUUCCUUCAGAUGCAAA